CGUUUUGCGUGUUGGGCCCUCUAAUGUUGUCGAAACCUGCAAUUUAUAUUGUUUGAAAGUUCGUUAAUUUAAUCAAAGUAAGUGAACCGAAUGUUGAUUUAACAAGGAUAAAAAGGGACUAAUGUGAUUUUUCAUAUGUGUAGGAAACACCUCAAAAGGAAGUGCACCGCCACAACACAGUAAUCAACCAGGUGGUCGAUCUUCGCUCAGCAUCGUCAUACUUUAGUCAGCCUAGGCACAGCCAAGCUUGGGGUCGGGACCCUACUUUUGUGGAGUUGUUAGAUGAUGACUCACACUUUUGCUAUUGGCUUAAGUUGUUAUGUACUUAAUGAUUUUGUUAUAUACCCCAUCUUGGGGUUAGUUUUGUAUAUGCCUGUAAAUAACUAACUCUUAAAUGUAUUUUGGCUUUUGAUGUACUUGUCCUGUGAAA